CAGCAGCCGCGGUAAUACGUAGGGUGCGAGCGUUAAUCGGAAUUACUGGGCGUAAAGCGUGCGCAGGCGGUUAUGUAAGACAGUUGUGAAAUCCCCGGGCUCAACCUGGGAACUGCAUCUGUGACUGCAUAGCUAGAGUACGGUAGAGGGGGAUGGAAUUCCGCGUGUAGCAGUGAAAUGCGUAGAUAUGCGGAGGAACACCGAUGGCGAAGGCAAUCCCCUGGACCUGUACUGACGCUCAUGCACGAGAGCGUGGGGAGCAAACAGGAUUAGAUACCCCUGUAGUCCCUGUCUCUUAUAU
rnacentral:rRNA from 1 species